ACGUGUACUCUUCCGACUCUUGUCUCCUCCCAGACAUUAGCCGCUCUCACAUUUAAUUCUGCAUUUCUCUCUUGCUGGACAAGAGUGAAUUCCAGACUCAAAAUCUGUAACAAUUUGGAAUAUAUUUUCAUUCUCUCUUGCUCACUCUUAUGUGCUUACCCGUGGUGGGUUUGUUUGUUUUCCUGAUCCACUUUUAAGUUAAC